rnacentral:rRNA from 1 species
UACGGAAGGCAGCAGUGGGGAAUAUUGCACAAUGGGCGAAAGCCUGAUGCAGCUAUGCCGCGUGUAUGAAGAAGGCCUUAGGGUUGUAAAGUACUUUCAUCGGGGAGGAAAAAACAAAACUAAUAAUUUUAUUUCUUGACGUUACCCGAAAAAGAAGCACCGGCUAACUCCGUGCCAGCAGCCGCGGUAAUACGGAGGGUGCUAGCGUUAAUCAGAAUUACUGGGCGUAAAGAGCACGUAGGUGGUUUUUUAAGUCAGAUGUGAAAUCCCUGGGCUUAACCUAGGAACUGCAUUUUGAAACUGAAAUACUAGAGUAUCGUAGAGGGAGGUAGAAUUCUAGGUGUAGCGGUGAAAUGCGUAGAUAUCUGGAGGAAUACCUGUGGCGAAAGCGGCCUCCUAAACGAAUACUGACACUGAGGUGCGAAAGCGUUGGGGAGCAAACAGGGAUUACGAUACC